CGUUAUAUAUACGAGGAUGCUCAAUUUGAUCGUUACAAAACGAUACUAGCAAAACUAGGUUUUUGGAACAUGGUUGAUGAAUUCUACAUCGAUCGAUCCACAAAUUGCUAUGAACACAAUUUUUUUUUCUUCUUCUUACUAAAAUGGAUCUAAAUUAGCACAGUGAAAAAACAAAAGUUCCACAGUUCCCACCUGUCACUCAACUAGUCUCAAUGCUUCCUAUCCUCUUUUCUGUUUGACACAUGUUAUUGUCGUAAGUGUGGUGGCCUCUAAGAUUGAGUUAGAACAAUCAUGUCUUGAAGAUGAAAUAUAUGCCCUAAGCCACUCGCUGUCGCCUUUGCGUCCUCUGCGUGCUGUUUGAAUUCUCCUUGGGAAAGCGUCCCUUAUCAACACACUGUGGAGGAGACAAGGAAAAGACGAGAAGUGGCUUAGGAUGGGGAGAGUCUCUUCCUCCCAGACGAGACCACCAAAUAAGAACAGUUUGGUUUCCACAUGGUAGCGUGUCCCGAUGAACCCAUUUAUAGCCUUACAUCCAUUAUCCGCAGAAAGCACUUAUGGCCACUCAUGAUGCCCUCAAGUACACAAAGGAAAGCAGCACAUUCAUUCACCCUCUGAUUCCAUGGAUGCCAUGCGUCACGAUAGAGGAAGAACUCGGAGCUUAAAAGAUGGCAGUUUGUCUUUGGCACAGGAACCUAUCUCACUCGUGAAGCUUAGAGCUAAGUUGGAUUGUGAGGUUGGUAAAAGUCAACUUGAUUGAGUGUAGGGGAAGCCUUUAUAUCAUUGCAGCAAAAAUGGUGUCAUAAUGGGGUGCUUAAAGCUUCUCAAUCCUACGUUUACAUGCUUUCUGCUACAGCUCUCCAUCCAGUCCAGCAAAUUAUGAUGUGUUCUUCGGAUCUUACAGAAGCUACUGGAUAUGGAAGGAGUAGAAAUUACUAGAGUCAACCCCACUGACUACUUGACCCAACAAAAAGCUCAAGUCAUCACCAAAAAGGCCACAGCAACACUCACAGGGGUUGAUGUCCAAACUCCACAAAAAGCUCAGGACAGGUUCAUCUGUGCUUUGGUCUUCAAAGAAAAAGCUAAUGGCACCACUGAGAGUGACACAGUAAACCCAGCAAGGGUUGGUGUCUCGACUCCACUGAGGCCAAGAGAGGAAAGAUGCCAUUUUCAAUCACAAGCUGGAAGACACUGCUACCACCAUGGCUCUGCUAAGAUAACAAGAGCUCAUGGGCAGUGGCCACACAACCUUUGACAAGAAGGAAGGCAUCAACGGGGCAGUGGCCUCGUGAUUGGGGCAGAGUUGUUCUCUGCAGGAGUAUCUGCAUCAAUUCAUGUGCACAUGUGUUUUGUGGUGGACAUGGUGGAAUGGAUUGACAGAAUGAUUGAUCUGAACACAUGGAUGUAUGUACAUGUAUGAAGAUGGUGAAAUAUGUGUGUGUAUAUAUAUAAUUGGGAAAAGGAAGGUGGAAAUGGAACUGUAUUCCCAGCCAUGGGGAUUGGUGAGAUCUUUAGGUGAGGCAUCUGUUUGGAUUUUGGAGGAGGAAAAGGGAACAGCACUUUUGAGUUAUCUAUAGAUUUGUUAUAUGCUGGCA